AUACGUAGGGGACGAGCGUUGUCCGGAAUUACUGGGCGUAAAGGGCGCGCAGGCGGAUAUUUAAGUCAGCUGUAAAAGGCAUGAGCUCAACUCAUGUAUGCGGUUGAAACUGGGUAUCCAGAGUGCUGGAGAGGUAGGCGGAAUUCCCGGUGUAGCGGGGAAAUGCGUAGAUAUCGGGAGGAACACCAGUGGCGAAGGCGGCUUACUGGCCAGCAACUGACGCUGAGGCGCGAAAGCCAGGGGAGCGAACGGGAUUAGAUACCCCGGUAGUCCUGGCCGUAAACGAUGAAUGCUAGGUGUGGGUGUCGAGAGGCAUCCGUGCCGGAGUUAACGCGAUAAGCAUUCCGCCUGGGGAGUACGAUCGCAAGAUUGAAACUCAAAUGAAUUGACGGGG
rnacentral:rRNA from 1 species